rfam:Actinobacteria bacterium BACL15 MAG-120619-bin91 contig00176_1_120619-bin91, whole genome shotgun sequence.
UUCGGCGACCAUAGCGAGAGGGAAACACCCGGUCCCAUUCCGAACCCGGAAGUUAAGCCUCUCAGCGUCGAUGGUACUGCAAGGGUGACCUUGUGGGAGAGUAGAACGUCGCCGGAC